rnacentral:rRNA from 1 species
AGCGAACGCUGGCGGCAGGCCUAACACAUGCAAGUCGAACGAAGUCUUCGGACUUAGUGGCGGACGGGUGAGUAACACGUGGGAACGUGCCUUUAGGUUCGGAAUAACUCAGGGAAACUUGUGCUAAUACCGAAUGUGCCCUUCGGGGGAAAGAUUUAUCGCCUUUAGAGCGGCCCGCGUCUGAUUAGCUAGUUGGUGGGGUAAUGGCCCACCAAGGCUACGAUCAGUAGCUGGUCUGAGAGGAUGACCAGCCACAUUGGGACUGAGACACGGCCCAAACUCCUACGGGAGGCAGCAGUGGGGAAUCUUGCGCAAUGGGCGAAAGCCCGACGCAGCCAUGCCGCGUGGAUGAUGAAGGUCUUAGGAUUGUAAAAUCCUUUCACCGGUGAAGAUAAUGACUGUAGUCGGAGAAGAAGCCCCGGCUAACUUCGUGCCAGCCGCCGCGGUAAGAC